UCCCUGGUCUGGGAACUUUUGCAUGCCAAGGGUGUGGCCAGGGGAAAAAAAAAAAGAACACAGAGAAGAUAAGCAUGGCUUCUGAGCAAUGAUGAGGCACAAAUUCCUGAAGUAUUCCAUAAUAAU
ensembl:snRNA U6 U6 spliceosomal RNA